rnacentral:misc_RNA from 1 species
UUAAGUUCAGCGGGUAUCCCUACCUGAUCCGAGGUCAACCUUGUAAAAAUAAAGAAGAAUGAACUUCUUUUCCCUGGUGAGAGGGAGGAGACCGUCGUCCGUCAACCACUUGAACCGAUACGUGCUCAGUGAAGAAGCUCAGUGUACCGGGGGUCAGACAAGCCGCCGUCAUUCACUUUAGGAGGGGUUUCGUCAACCGA